CACGUAGGGACCAAGCGUUGUCCGGAUUCAUUGGGCGUAAAGAGCUCGUAGGCGGUUCAGUAAGUCGGGUGUGAAACCUCCAGGCUCAACCUGGAGACGCCACCCGAUACUGCUGUGACUAGAGUCCAGUAGGGGAGCGUGGAAUUCCUGGUGUAGCGGUGAAAUGCGCAGAUAUCAGGAGGAACACCAGCGGCGAAGGCGGCGCUCUGGGCUGGAACUGACGCUGAGGAGCGAAGGCCAGAGGAGCAAACGGG
rnacentral:rRNA from 1 species